rnacentral:rRNA from 1 species
UACGUAGGUGGCAAGCGUUGUCCGGAUUUACUGGGCGUAAAGGGCGUGCAGGCGGUCUGUUAAGUGCAGGGUGAAAGCUCCCGGCUCAACUGGGAGAGGUCCUUGCAUACUGGCGGACUUGAGGGGGGUAGAGGAAAGUGGAAUUACCGGUGUAGUGGUGAUAUGCGUAGAUAUCGGGAGGAACACCUGUGGCGAAGGCGGCUUUCUGGGCCCUACCUGACGCUGAGACGCGAAAGCGUGGGGAGCGAACCGG